CGGCCGCGUUGACCUUUCAGCUGGGAAGAUAAUGACGGUACCAGCAGAAGAAGCCCCGGCUAACUCCGUGCCAGCAGCCGCGGUAAUACGGAGGGGGCUAGCGUUGUUCGGAAUUACUGGGCGUAAAGCGCACGUAGGCGGACUGGAAAGUCAGAGGUGAAAUCCCAGGGCUCAACCUUGGAACUGCCUUUGAAACUAUCAGUCUGGAGUUCGAGAGAGGUGAGUGGAAUUCCGAGUGUAGAGGUGAAAUUCGUAGAUAUUCGGAGGAACACCAGUGAGCCGCCUU
rnacentral:rRNA from 1 species